CAGGUAGUGUUUUGACCCAUAGAAGUACAAUGGGACUUUUUUGGUCUUCCACAAAUACGAAUUGUAGUGGUAUAAGUGUGGAAUUAAGAACUGAAAUAGAGAAGAAAUACACAGAAAUAUGGAGUGAGAUUAACAGUUUAAAAGAUGGAAGGAAAGGUA